GCUAGUGAGAGAGUCGUUGCUCGACUUAGAUAGGACCUGUUUAGUCAUCUCAUAAACCAGGCAAGUGGCUUAAUUUUGUUUAUGCCUUCUACAAGGAUGGUCUCAUACCCUGCCUGCUUCCCCUCCUCACCUCCACCUCGUUGUGGUUCCUUGCUGAGAAAAAGAACGAUCGUGUACAGUUCCCGUUGGUCGCCUUGCUGCCUUGGGCGCUGGCUCAUCCACCAAGGGUGCUGGAAGCCGCCUAAAUGGAGCGUUGACGUCAAUACAAGUAGAAUUAUGGGUUGCGGCCACCAUCUUCACCAAGCACCGCACAUCCGUCCAAGUUGAGCACACACACAGGGAGAACACACCAGCCCCUUUGCUUUGCACAUUGCUUGGUUAUGCAUGACUGCUGAUGGAUGCAGCAAGCGUUUAUAUUAGUUUGAUCUUGUGCAAGACUCAAUUUUGUCUCGGUUUUCAUGGAUGCUAGCUGGCAAUACGUCCAACAUUCUUGCGGUGAUAGCAGCCAGCACUAAGGGCAUUUGCGUCCAGCACUCGAGCUACAUUCUCAACGGUCGCACACUGCCGCCAUGGGCAUGCACAAAGUUAUUAAGUAGAAGUUUGUUAGUUCAGUUUUUUGUUGAUUUACCUUGUUUAAGUAGUAGUGCAGCAAUAAAAGGUGUAGUUGUGCUGAAGUUUUAGUUGCUAUAUGAGGAACCCAGGGGCCAUUUAUUUUGGUUUUCAGUUCAGCUUGUCUGUUCUUUUCGGUCUGGAUGCUUUAUUGCGCAUAAUCUUGAGGAAAUCCCCAAAAAUCAUAUGUCUCAUGUGAAUAUUGUUCAGUUCACAAGUUCGUCGGAAAAAUAUAUCAUCUACAAAAAUAAUUGCAAUCUCGUAAUGUGAAGUAUGUUGUAGUCUAUACCUGUAGAGUGCAUUUUUGUAGUGCUGGUAUUUGUGGUCACUCUUUUGUGUUAGAAACAAUGUAUAUAUAUAUAUAUAUAUAUUUAUAUUUUGUAGUGUCUGUACUUGAGAACAAAAGGUUCACUUUUCAAACUUUAAACAGUUCAUCGCAAGCAUUUGGUGUAGCAAGACGUGCACCAAUGUGUGUGUGCACUUGAUGCAACUCUAUUGCAGUAUAUGAAGUUCAUGCGAUUUUCAUGCAUCAACAAAUCUGAUAGAGAGCACCAUUCUUUUCUAAAUUUUGUAUUUAAGAAAUAUCACUCUUUCUAUAUUUUGAACACUAGCUAGUGCUUUCUUUUCUUGUUAUAGUCAAAAAGUAGUACAUGUAUGUAGUUAUGGUGAUAGUGAUACUAACUAGACCAAGCUACUUCAAUUGUUUUACUAAGUUCUAGAAAUUCUCCAUAUACGGCAAGAGCCAACCGAACGUCUUUGUCUAGCCUGACUUGGGACAACUUCUUUGCAACUGCGGGUUAGAAAGUUCCACAUGUGAUUGGAAUUCAGUGCGAAAAACUGUUGGUUAGAAGUUCAUCUUCGCCCCUAGAAAGAAGUUUGUAUUGUAAAGGUUGAAGCUAAUGGGCUAGGAAGCUUUAUAAGAAAUUGAUUUGCAUGUUCAUUGAAAAAGUUUGGUUUGCCUGUUCCGUGAAAAUGUCUUGCUAAAGAAAUAUAUCUUGUGCACUUAUUUAUUCACCUGAAUAUUUGGUUUGAUUCUCAGGUGCGAAAUGUCUUGCUAAUCAAAGUUUGGUUUGAUUCUCAGGUGCGAGAAAUAUCUCUUGUGCACUAGUGGUUGGCUGCUCCCAGCGGUAAAUGUAGUCGGAUUCAGCAGCUAGCUCUUCCUCGAGCAACCAUUUGGAGAACUUUAUUGUCUUCUUGUGGUGGUGAUGUGGUGGUGAUUGAUUUUAGGAUCAGUAAAUUUGAUGUUGGUAGCUAGCUUGCGUAUGGAACCUGCAAGUUCAAUAUUGGUAUUAGAUUCAUUUUUUGUUGUAUAAAUGUCCCAGUGUUCACAUUUAUUUGGGUAAAAGUUUAUUUUAGUUUAGCUACAGAAACCAUGCAGGUUCAGUGAUGAUGAUACCAUAAGUUCGGACAAGAAAAUUUAUGUAUAUGGUGAGAUGAUUGCUACUUCUUCAAAGAAGGUAUAGUACAUGACAGCUUGAUGUGCAUACAAGAAU
rnacentral:lncRNA from 1 species